CUUGACCAUCCCAGUAGGGGUCGAAGGUCAACCAGCUCCUGUUCCAGUGGUGAAGGGGUGGGGACCGGCAGGAGGGUUUACGGCCAAUAGCUGCCGUGAUAUCCAUAAGCUCCUCCUUCACGGUCAAGAAGAAGCCGGGACCACAGUCAUGAACCCAGGGAGAGUGAGAGCGACAGCGUCUGUCGACUGAAGUUUGCAGCUAAUCGGCGCCACGUCGGAAGGGCCGGACUGCAACUGGGAUCCUGACCCUCGGCCUAGGUCUCCCUGGGCUAUUCCCUCUGCGCCCCCAGCCUGGGGGUCCCCUUGCCUACUGCUCCUCGAUCUCUCCGUCUGCCCACCUCCCUCCAGCCCCCUGCAUCCACCCCACAGGCCUCGUCCCAGCUGAGAGGAUGUCACUGCUGUCUGUGCUCACCGUGCUCAUCCUGUGCGCCGCCGGAUCCACGGCGGUGAAACUGGAGCAGAGAGAGCUGUCCAUCACCAGGUCACGCACAAAAACAGUCCGUGUGAAUUGUGUGGUGUCCGGCGUUACGUUCUCUGCCACCACCAUGCACUGGUACCAACAGAAAUCGGGGCAGGCUUUGAAGCGGCUGCUCUAUUUGUCAUCGACAAUCAAAGCUCAACACGACCCGGGCACUGAUAAGAAAAGGUUCUGGGCAGAAAACAACAUCAAGACCACCACCUCCACCCUAACAAUCAUCAACAUAGAGGAAGGAGAUGUGGCCACCUACUACUGUGCCUGCUGGGAUUUCCACGGUCUCAACCAGUCACAGACAACCUGCACAGAAUCCCUCCCCUCGCCCCCUUGCCCACAUCCCUCCACACCGGGGCCCGAAACGACUCUUUUACCACAAUCUCUUUCCAGUUCAAAGGAUGUUCUAAGCACAAAUCUAACUCAGGGGGACCCUCUUUCAAAAAUGUUUUUUCUGUUUACCGCCAUGUAUGAAUAAACCUCAUCAGUGCUCAUGAAGAUGUCUCUGACACAAAGAAGAAUCAAUAAGCAGUAAUGGUUGUUAUUAAGUGCUCACUCGGUGCAGGGCAAACAUACACAGAUGAAAG